rnacentral:rRNA from 1 species
GACGAACGCUGGCGGCGUGCUUAACACAUGCAAGUCGAGCGAGGCUCUCCUUCGGGAGGUGUCCUAGCGGCGAACGGGUGAGUAACACGUGGGCAACCUGCCCUCAGCUCUGGGAUAACCCCAAGAAAUUGGGGCUAAUACCGGAUACGACCGCUGACCGCAUGGUCUGGUGGUGGACAGAUUUAUCGGCUGGGGAUGGGCCCGCGGCCUAACAGGUUGUUGGUGGGGUAGUGGCCUACCAAGGCGACGCCGGGUAGCCGGCCUGAGAGGGUGACCGGCCACACUGGGACUGAGACACGGCCCAGACUCCUACGGGAGGCAGCAGUGGGGAAUAUUGCGCAAUGGGCGGAAGCCUGACGCAGCGACGCCGCGUGGGGGAUGACGGCCUUCGGGUUGUAAACCUCUUUCAGCAGGGACGAAGCGAAAGUGACGGUACCUGCAGAAGAAGCACCGGCCAACUACGUGCCAGCCGCCGCCGUAAUAC